UAAUAUUAUAACUGGUAAUAACAACAGGUAUUCACUGAGCACUUACUCUGGCCAGGUACUGCACAGAGCACUGUACACAUAUUUCUAAUUAUCCCAUAGACACUAAGGUACAUAUGAAGAGCAUCUCCUUACUAUGAUGGAGAUUUAAAGAUGUUAAUUUGCUCAUAGUCACACAGCUGUCAUUUGUCAGAGUUAAGACUAAGCCAGGGGUUUGCAAUCUCCUUUGGCAUGCAACAGUGAAUUAUGUAAAUGAGGCAGUAUCCAAUUUUUAAUUAAGAUCUUUAUUACUAAAUGUCGGCAUCACCAGCACUAACACAAAGAUAGGCCUGUGAUACUUUUUACAAGAUAUUUGCUGAAUUAGACAUUUUCCUACACUCUCAGCCUGGUAUGAAAAAUACAUACAGGGUUGUAAUAUAAUAUUAAUGGCUGCCUGAAGUGUUGUCAGAACACAAAUAAGGUGGGGAGGAUGGUGUCAGGGGAGGCUUACACAUAGGAUAGGGCAUUUUGAGGAGGGCUUUAAGGACUGAUUAGGAAACUGCUAAGCGUAACAGAAAGAAGUAUGCCAAACAGAGGGACUAGGAGGACCAAAGAUAUAGGUACAGAAAUAUGAGGAAUUCUGCAAAAAUAAUCAGCUUGUAUCAGUGGCUCUCAAAAUUAAGCAUUCAAUGGGAAUCACCUGGAGGCUUGUGAAAUGCCCCAGAGCUUCAGAUUCAGUAGGACUGGGUGAGACCAAGAAUUUGCAUUCCUAAUGAUUCUCAGGUGCUGCUGAUCCUCCUUGUCCCAGGACAACACUGUGUUGAGAGCCCUGUUCUACAGAGAAAGAUGUCUGGAAACCCCAAAGUUUGUGUGUAUCUGAGAGGCGUGCCAAAGCCUGCAAGACUUGCACCAAAAGAAAAUUCCCGGAAGAGAUGAGAAUUUCUUCUCUUUCCUGCGAGAGUGGUGGUUCAAUUUUACUGUUGGUUUUGGGAGCAAUUCAUGCUGAAGCUGUCCAGUGGGAGGAAGCAGGGAAACCACAACUCCGGACUGAAAUGAGGGCACCUGGGAUUUUAUUGCCACUCUGCCCCAUCAGUGCCCCUAUUCACGCGCCACUGAGGGCCUGCGGCUACAGAGGAGGAAGCACACUGGCUCUUUUGUGUUUGCAUCCAACUUGCAGGGACGAUGGCAUUUGUCAGAGCUCUUCCUCCAGUUUUCAUCCUUUGUCCGCUGACCACAGAGCCAUGCGUCAAGUAACGAGAGCCCCACGGACAACAAAUGAGAAAUACCAGAAAAGCGAUGCUUGCCAGCUGUGGGCACCUCAGGCCCAGGCGCCUUUUGAAGUCAAUGGGAGAACUUUGAUGACUCAAGAGGAAGAACAGUAACGAGAAUGGGGUGAGUAGUGGGGCUUCAGACCAAAUCUUUGACACAAAGCUACUUCUCAACAGACUUAUUUCACAAGACAAGUUUAAAUGAUUAUCAGAGACAGGACUAGGGUGAAGUGACUGAGGUAUUUAGGGCAGAAAGCUAGGAAAGCAUUAACUCUCAGAAUUAAACACAUGCAAACACUGAUCCACUUUCUACCAUUAUGUAUUACCUUUACCUUUUCAAAGACUUGGAAUGAAAUUACACCAUGUGUUCUCCUUUGUAUCUGCCUUCUUUCACUAAGCAUGUUUUGAGGUUAAAUCCAUGCUGUCAUAUGUAUCAAUACCUCAUUCUCCUUUAUUGCUUAAGGUUCUGUUUUAUAAAUUUUCAUCCUAUCACAUACCACAUGUUAUAAAUAUACCAUUUCGUAUCUUAUAAUGUACUUUUUUUAUUUAACAUUUCAUAAAUAUACCACACUGUGUUAUCUAUCCAUCUGUUCAUGGGCAUUUCAGUUGUUUCCACUUGUUGCUUAUAAUGGAUAAAGUUGUUGUAGUAUUUGUGUCAAAAUUCUUUUUGUGGACAUUUCUCUUAGGUAAAUGCCUUGGAAUGAAAUUGCUAUUUCAUAGAGUAAGUGUUUAUUUAAGUCAAUUAAAAAAACCUCCCAAAAUGUUUGCUCAAAAAUUUGUAUAGGAGUUCUUGUCGUGGCACAGUGGAAACAAAUCUCACUAGGAACCAUGAGGUUUCGAGUUCAAUCCCUGGCCUCCCUCAGUGGGUUAAGGAUCUGGCAUUGCCAUGAGCUAUGGUGUAGGUAGCAGACGCAGCUCAAUUCCAGAGUUGCUGUGGCUGUGGGAUAGGCAGGCCAGCAGCUAUAGCUCCUAGCCUGGGAAGCUUCAUAUGCCACAGGUGCGGCCCUAAAAAUUCAAAAAAAAAAUUUUGUACAAUUUUACACAACUGUCUGCAGUGUAUGAGAGUUCCAGAUGCUCACCAAUGCUUAUUAUUGUUAGCCAUUUUAAUUUUAGC
rnacentral:lncRNA from 1 species